rnacentral:rRNA from 1 species
AUUGAACGCUUGCGGCAGGCUUAACACAUGCAAGUCGAACGAGUGGCGGACGGGUGAGUCAUGCCUGGGAAUCUGCCUUAUGGAGGGGGAUAACUACGGGAAACUGUAGCUAAUACCGCGUACCAUCGGAUGUGCCCAAAUGGGAUUAGCUAGUUGGUGAGGUAAAGGCUCACCAAGCCGACGAUCCCUAGCUGGUCUGAGAGGAUGACCAGCCACACGGGGACUGCGACACGGCCCAGACUCCUACGGGAGUCAGCAGUGGGGAAUAUUGCGCAAUGGGGGCAACCCUGACGCAGCCAUGCCGCGUGUAUGAAGAAGGCCUUCGGGUUGUAAAGUACUUUCGGCAGGGAGGCGUUACCUGCAGAAGAAGCACCGGCUAACUCCGUGCCAGCCGCCGCGGUAAUUC